rnacentral:rRNA from 1 species
AGCGAACGCUGGCGGCAUGCCUAACACAUGCAAGUCGAACGAGACCUUCGGGUCUAGUGGCGCACGGGUGCGUAACGCGUGGGAACCUGCCCUCAGGUUCGGAAUAACUCCCCGAAAGGGGUGCUAAUACCGGAUAAUGUCCUCGGACCAAAGAUUUAUCGCCUUUGGAUGGGCCCGCGUUGGAUUAGCUAGUUGGUAGGGUAAAAGCCUACCAAGGCGACGAUCCAUAGCUGGUCUGAGAGGAUGAUCAGCCACACUGGGACUGAGACACGGCCCAGACUCCUACGGGAGGCAGCAGUGGGGAAUAUUGGACAAUGGGCGAAAGCCUGAUCCAGCAAUGCCGCGUGAGUGAUGAAGGCCUUAGGGUUGUAAAGCUCUUUUACCCGGGAUGAUAAUGACAGUACCGGGAGAAUAAGCUCCGGCUAACUCCGUG